UACGGAGGAUGCAAGCGUUAUCCGGAAUGAUUGGGCGUAAAGCGUCCGCAGGUGGCCAUGUAAGUCUGCUGUUAAAGAGUCAUGCUCAACAUGAUAAAAGCAGUGGAAACUACAUAGCUAGAGUACGUUCGGGGCAGAGGGAAUUCCUGGUGUAGCGGUGAAAUGCGUAGAUAUCAGGAAGAACACCGGUGGCGAAAGCGCUCUGCUAGGCCGUAACUGACACUGAGGGACGAAAGCUAGGGGAGCGAAUGGG
rnacentral:rRNA from 1 species